rnacentral:rRNA from 1 species
GUGAACGCUGGCGGUCGGCCUAACACAUGCCAGUCGAACGGCAGCACAGUAAGAGCUUGCUCUUACGGGUGGCGAGUGGCGGACGGGUGAGGAAUACAUCGGAAUCUACUUUUUCGUGGGGGAUAACGUAGGGAAACUUACGCUAAUACCGCAUACGACCUACGGGUGAAAGCAGGGGAUCUUCGGACCUUGCGCGAUUGAAUGAGCCGAUGUCGGAUUAGCUAGUUGGCGGGGUAAAGGCCCACCAAGGCGACGAUCCGUAGCUGGUCUGAGAGGAUGAUCAGCCACACUGGAACUGAGACACGGUCCAGACUCCUACGGGAGGCAGCAGUGGGGAAUAUUGGACAAUGGGCGCAAGCCUGAUCCAGCCAUACCGCGUGGGUGAAGAAGGCCUUCGGGUUGUAAAGCCCUUUUGUUGGGAAAGAAAAGCAGCAGGUUAAUACCCCGCUGUUCUGACGGUACCCAAAGAAUAAGCACCGGCUAACUUCGUG